rnacentral:rRNA from 1 species
AAACACCCCCCCGGUGGGGAAUCUUCCGCAAUGGGCGAAAGCCUGACGGAGCAAUACCGCGUGAGGGAGGAAGGCUCUUGGGUUGUAAACCUCUUUUCUCAAGGAAGAAGUUCUGACGGUACUUGAGGAAUCAGCAUCGGCUAACUCCGUGCCAGCAGCCGCGGUAAUACGGAGGAUGCAAGCGUUAUCCGGAAUGAUUGGGCGUAAAGCGUCCGCAGGUGGUGAUGAAAGUCUGCUGUCAAAGCGUCUAGCUCAACUAGAUAAAGGCAGUGGAAACUACAUGACUAGAGUGCGUUCGGGGCAGAGGGAAUUCCUGGUGUAGCGGUGAAAUGCGUAGAGAUCAGGAAGAACACCGGUGGCGAAAGCGCUCUGCUUGGCCGCAACUGACACUGAGGGACGAAAGCUAGGGGAGCGAAUGGGAUUAGAUACCCCAGUAGUCCUAGCCGUAAACGAUGGAUACUAGGCGUGGCUUGUAUCGACCCGAGCCGUGCCGUAGCUAACGCGUUAAGUAUCCCGCCUGGGGAGUACGCACGCAAGUGUGAAACUCAAAGGAAUUGACGGGGGCCCGCACAAGCGGUGGAGUAUGUGGUUUAAUUCGAUGCAACGCGAAGAACCUUACCAAGACUUGACAUGUCGCGAACUUUGGUGAAAGCUAAAGGUCCUUAGGGAGCCGAACACAGGUGGGCAUGGCGUAGUCAG